AGGGAGCCACCAGCCCAGAUCAAGUACCCCACCGUGCCGCGGAGCUGCGGGGGCCAGCACACCAUCACCACCCCUCUCCAGCGCCUCCAGUGCCUCCGGACCCCCCAUCAACUCCAGCCCCUCCUGCUCCCCAACAAGUACAACACGGAGGAUUUGUUGGCCAAGGACCAUCAAGGCCUCAGGGGCCGGAUCGGGGAGCUGCUGAGGGGCAGGGAAGAGCCACAGCCAGCAGAGCCCGAGGCGGGGGGGGCCAAUCACCACCACCCCCAGCCACCGGGGUCACCGCGGGACCGCUCCAGCAAACCCUCAGCCAGACUGCGCCACCUGCUCUUCAAAACGUGAUUUAUUACUAUUUAAUAACCGCCCCCCCCCCUCAACCUG